ACAGAUGGAAGAAGCAGAUGGUGGAAGAAAGGGCAGUUCAAAACCGUAAUGUUAACGAGAGCACCAAAUAGUGACUGAUUUCACUUUCAAAAAUAAUGAAUGGUUGGGCUUCUCUAGAAAGGUACAACCGUGCAUGAAGAUGGAAACUCAUCCCCCACCCAAAUCAAAAAUCUAUAAAAGCAAACUAGAAAAUGAUGACUAUUUUGUUAAAUUGGGCGAGGAAGUGUUCCAGGGGAAGAUCUAAAAAUUAUUUCUCUUUCUUCCUUCUCGCAUUGAGGAAGAGGCAGACCAUCAGAUUACAGGCCAAACUUUUGAGAAGACUUCUUGUUGCCUUUCCUAACAUCUCAGGUAUCUCACCUAUGCAUGGAUUCCUCAACUGAAAUUGCAUAUUUCCUGAUCUACUGGAGAAUUGAAGGCAAAACUCUUAUUUGUGUGAUGUGACCAUCACUGAAAUAUUGACUGUUCCUGUUAGAAAGUAACAAGGAGUACAGGUGUUCACUGUACUAAG